UACGUAGGUGGCAAGCGUUGUCCGGAAUUAUUGGGCGUAAAGCGCGCGCAGGCGGCCCCUUAAGUCUGAUGUGAAAGCCCCCGGCUCAACCGGGGAGGGCCAUUGGAAACUGGGAGGCUUGAGUAUAGGAGAGAAGAGUGGAAUUCCACGUGUAGCGGUGAAAUGCGUAGAGAUGUGGAGGAACACCAGUGGCGAAGGCGACUCUUUGGCCUAUAACUGACGCUGAGGCGCGAAAGCGUGGGGAGCAAACAGG
rnacentral:rRNA from 1 species